GACGAACGCUGGCGGCGUGCCUAAUACAUGCAAGUCGAGCGAAUGGAUUAAGAGCUUGCUCUUAUGAAGUUAGCGGCGGACGGGUGAGUAACACGUGGGUAACCUGCCCAUAAGACUGGGAUAACUCCGGGAAACCGGGGCUAAUACAGGAUAACAUUUUGAACCGCAUGGUUCGAAAUUGAAAGGCGGCUUCGGCUGUAACUUAUGGAUGGACCCGGGUCGCAUUAGCUAGUUGGUGAGGUAACGGCUCACCAAGGCAACGAUGCGUAGCCGACCUGAGAGGGUGGUCGGCCACACUGGGACUGAGACACGGCCCAGACUCCUACGGGAGGCAGCAGUAGGGAAUCUUCCGCAAUGGACGAAAGUCUGACGGAGCAACGCCGCGUGAGUGAUGAAGGCUUUCGGGUCGUAAAACUCUGUUGUUAGGGAAGAACAAGUGCUAGUUGAAUAAGCUGACACCUUGACGGUACCUAACCAGAAAGCCACGGCUAACUACGUGCCAGCAGCCGCGGUAA
rnacentral:rRNA from 1 species